rnacentral:tRNA from 1 species
GGUUCCAUGGCGCAAUUGGUUAGCGCGUGGUGCUAAUAACGCCAAGGUUGAGGGUUCGAUCCCCUCUGGGACCA